UAGCACAUUUCUGAGUCCCAAAGUUACUGCUGAAGACUGCUGGUGUAGUCCUUAGGAGCCCAAAAGUAUAUCACUUUUAUGGCAUAAGGGUUCAUAUUUCUACUACAGUGAACCAGUCCACUUAGGAUCGCAAAGAAAAACAUCAGGGCACAACAGCUUUUUG